GUCGUGAGAUGUUGGGUUAAGUCCCGCAACGAGCGCAACCCUCGUCCUAUGUUGCCAGCGAGUUAUGUCGGGGACUCAUAGGAGACUGCCGGGGUCAACUCGGAGGAAGGUGGGGAUGACGUCAAGUCAUCAUGCCCCUUAUAUCCAGGGCUGCACACAUGCUACAAUGGCCGGUACAAAGGGCUGCGAUACCGCAAGGUGGAGCGAAUCCCAGAAAGCCGGUCUCAGUUCGGAUUGGGGUCUGCAACUCGACCCCAUGAAGUCGGAGUCGCUAGUAAUCGCAGAUCAGCAACGCUGCGGUGAAUACGUUCCCGGGCCUUGUACACACCGCCCGUCACGUCACGAAAGUCGGUAACACCCGAAGCCAGUGGCCCAACCUGCUUGCAGGAGGGAGCUGUCGAAGGUGGGAUCGGCGAUUGGGACGAAGUCGUAACAAGGUAGCCGUACCGGAAGGUGCGGCUGGAUCACCUCCUUUCUAAGGAGCAACUGGCGCUACUCGUAGCGUCCAGGCCUCCCAUCACGAGCGAACGUCUCGUGGGGAGAGCUCAAGGGUGGAACACUAACUAGUUCGGUCGGAUGCUCGCAGCAUCGUCGUCAGUACAGCGCCUUCGGGCGCAGGAACCUCGACGCAGCUGUGAGAGCCGGCCGUAGGCACGCUGUUGAGUCCUGAGGGAGCGGAACGUCGCCCCUCAGGCAUCUGUCGUUUCGACGCAGGUGCCGAACACGUCCGGCCUCUUGGUCACCGAACGGCUCGCUCUAGCGAGCGCCGCGGUGACGACGCCAAGACGGCCGCCCGUACCUUGAGAACUGCACAGUGGACGCGAGCAUCUUUGUGGCUAAGUUAAUAAGGGCGCACGGUGGAUGCCUUGGCACCAGGAGCCGAUGAAGGACGUAAGGGGCUGCGAUAAGCCUCGGGGAGCUGCCGACUGAGCUUUGAUCCGAGGAUUU
rnacentral:sRNA from 1 species